GAUUUAUGGCAAAUUCAGAAAGUAGAAUAUCUCAGCAAUCAUAGGGUUUACAGUCAUGAAACUUCACACACUAGUAGCUGAUAACAAUACAAAUCAGUGGCUAAAAGGAUAUUUCCAAGGCGAUGAAUUCCAUACGUUAGCAGGAAUUUAGAAUCGUACAACCACUCAGCAGCUACCCAUAAACCAGACCAACCUAUUAAGUCGAGCGGGCAGAAGCUGUGAUUCCCAGUGUAACACCGCAGAAUGACGACUAGUUUUCGGAUUACAUUUCUGUGCGGAAGGAUUAAAAAAACUACACCAGACUGGUGGCCAUGACAGAUGUCAGUGGGAAAUUUAAACAUGGACUAGAUUCUUUGAUGUGUAGCAAAAAGGUUCAUCGUUGAUGGUGGUGUUUUUCUGUGAUAUAUUGACUGGGAUAGUAUUACUCUUCAGAAAUACAGAGCUGUCAAUGCUGCAAUUUUGUUGUGAAAUUCACAAUCCAUGUCCAAAAGUGCUUGUUUUACUAUACAGCAAAGAAGGAGAAAUUGUACCGUGCCGACACCAAUAGUAACAUUUAACAUGUUAUUGGUACAAAUACCGUGCGAGAGUAGUAUCGCUCAGUAUUAUAUCAACAAACAAAAAGAACCUAAGAUUAUUUCUAGCAUACAAAUACAAGUUCCUUUUUGGCCCAGCGAUAAUGUACUCCGUUUCGUAUUUUGGUCGUUCUGGAGAUACUGAUAGUUUUAUACGAACAUAUGAACAAACAAUGAAUAAACAAGCUUACACAAAGUAUGUAAUGCAAAUU